rnacentral:sRNA from 1 species
AGACACCAAGGCUUUACAACUUCCACUAUGAGAACUAGAUUUGUUUGAGGGCCAUCAUCGUACUAUCCAUCCAUCCAUCCAUCCAUCCAUCCAUACAUACAUACAUACAUAACAUACUUGCCUUGGCUAUUCGCGGCAUCCAUUAGUGACAAAUAAUGCGAGCCACCUGCCAACCUACCUACCUAGCUGCUCGAUAUCCGAUCGAUUUCUAAUGGAAUAUAGAAUGCUAGCUACGCUGUAGAUACCUACCUAUCUACCUCCCUACUUUCCAACCAACCUGCCUGCUCAAUAUCCAAUCAAUCUCUACUCCGUAUAAGAAUAAACAUCACCAUCCAGCUACCCACCUAUCUACUAAUGCUAGCUUAGUAGUUGACUACCUGCGUGCCUACCUGCCUAUCUAUCUACUGAUGAUAUCUAUCGAUGAUAUCUGCUAAUUAUAUCUAUCGAUGAUAAAUCGAUGAUGAUAUCUAGCGACGGUAUAUCAGAAUAUGAAAAUGACUUUUAAUUCGUUCACUUUUCGGAUUUUUUUACUUUUUUCAUUUUUUGAUGAUAUUCAUGAUUUUUUUUUUUUUUUUUUUUUUUUAGUUGAUUAAAUGAAAAUGAUAUAUUUCUGCUGU